rnacentral:SRP_RNA from 1 species
GUUCCGGCGCGUGCCUGUAGUCCCAGCUACUAGGGAGGCUGAGGUGGGAGGAUCGCUUGAGUCCAGGAGUUCUGGGCUGUAGUGCGCUAUGCCGAUCGGGUGUCCGCACUAAGUUCGGCAUCAAUAUGGUGACCUCCCGGGAGCGGGGGACCACCAGGUUGCCUAAGGAGGGGUGAACCGGCCCAGGUCGGAAACGGAGCAGGUCAAAACUCCCGUGCUGAUCAACUUUCAAAUGCACCUUGUGAAGCCCUCCUGCAUAGUCCCUUCCCCACAGAAUACUCCAGGAUCCUAGGCUCAU